UACGUAGGGGGGCUAGCGUUGUCCGGAAUCAUUGGGCGUAAAGCGCGUGUAGGCGGUCCGGUAAGUCCGCUGUGAAAGUCGGGGGCUCAACCCUCGAAAGCCGGUGGAUACUGUCGGGCUCGAGUACGGAAGAGGCGAGUGGAAUUCCUGGUGUAGCGGUGAAAUGCGCAGAUAUCAGGAGGAACACCAAUUGCGAAGGCAGCUCGCUGGGACGUUACUGACGCUGAGACGCGAAAGCGUGGGGGAGCAAACAGG
rnacentral:rRNA from 1 species